AGUAUGUUCUGUUCAGGCCAGUGAUGUUCUGCUCUCACGGGACCCCAAGAAACGACGGACAGGAAACACAUUUACUAGUCGGCACCAAGGGCCACUAUUGUGAAAGGUUCAACUUUCCAGAGGGUCAGUGUGUCAAGACUGAGGACAUACUACAGAUUGAAAAAUGGACCAACUGAGAGGAUGUUUCUCCAGGAUCACAGAGAGGGUGCCAUUGAUUUGCCAGUGGUGGUGCAUUCAGCUGAUGGAGAGGUUUUGCCUAGAAGGGUAUGGACAGAGAUUUGCAUACUGGACAGAAGAAGCAUCCCAACUCCUUCAGGGAACCCUUGAGCCUGUCCACCACAAAACUGUUGCCCAGCAGAAGAGUUGUGGUUUAAGAGGACACUGAUAAGGU